GAAGAAAUCUAGUUUAUCCAAAAAAUCUAGGCUUGUCAAGCCUAAGAAGUCAGUUAUGACGAUCUCUAA
rnacentral:tRNA from 2 species